rnacentral:rRNA from 1 species
AUGUUUUUUGUUGAAGUGCAAAGACUGAACCUUUACUUUGUGUUAUUGUGCAUUGUAAGUCUCAAUGAUCCAGUGUUCACUAUUGAGGUUCAUCAUGGUGGAUUUUUCUGUGGUUUAGGAAGCAACAAAACAUAUAUUGAUGAUAAAAUUGACUUCUUUGACUUUUGUGUUGUUGAGGAAUGGUCAGUACUUUAUAUUGUGGAUUUGUUGGAGAAAUUGGGCUACCCCGACAAUACCAAGUACAAGGUGUACUGGUUGCUGCCUGGCCACACAAUUGCUGAUGGUCUUUUCUUUGUGUGCAAUGAUGAUAACCUUCAGAAGCUCAUUUCUUCAGUGCCCAGGGACAACAAUAUAGUUCUUUAUUUGGAUCAGAUGUAUUUGAUUGACAAUAGCAUAUGGGAUGAUGUGUUGAUAGAAGCAAAUGCUUCAGAACAGCCUAGUAUCAUUGUGAAUCAAUGCAAGCCUACAGAGCAGUUUUCAGGGCAGCCAGAGGGAGAUAUCACUCGCCAGAUGGAUGAGAAGCUGGAGAGAUUGCAGAAAUUUAAGAGCUCGAAGGAAGAUGGUAGUGACAGUGACAGGCUUGAUUCAGAUGCAGACUUUUUUGACAGUGACAAUGAUCCAUUUGAUGGAGAUGAUGAUUUGUUUGCCGCCUUUGUGGAUCAAGAUGUGAAAGAUUCAAUGAUCCCUGACAAAGGUAGACAGCAAGUUCAAGACAAUGAGGUGAAGGACAAGGAUAAGAAGGAUAAAAGGAAGAGGGAAGAUUCUGAUGGUGAGCUUGAAUUACCAGAUUCUGAAGAUGAGAACUUCAAGUUCAAGUUCAAGUCAUUCACAUCAGUGGACAUGAAGGAACCCGAGUUUAAAGUUGGAAUGUUCUUUUCAACUGUUGAGCAGUUGCGAGAAGCAAUAGAUGAAUAUAGCAUAAAAACAGAGUGCCUGUGA